GGGAAAGAUGCGUUUAUUAGGUCAAAUUCAUCCGGGUCGCCGCGGCCCGUACCUCUGAUGACUCUGGAUAACUUCGAGCUGAUCGCAUGGCUUCGUGCCGGCAACGUAUCUUUCAAGUGUGUGCCCUAUCAACUUUCGAUGGUACGUGAUAUGCCUACCAUGGUAGUAACGGGUAACGGGGAAUCAGGGUUCGAUUCCGGAGAGGGAGCAUGAGAACCGGCUACCACAUCCAAGGAAGGCAGCAGGCGCGCAAAUUACCCAUUCCCGACACGGGGAGGUAGUGACGAAAAAUAACAAUACGGGACUCUUUUGAGGCCCCGUAAUUGGAAUGAGUACACUUUAAAUCCUUUACCAAGAAUCAUUUGAAGGGAAAGUCGGGGGCCAGCACCCGCGGAAUUUCCAGUUCCAUUACGGAAUACAAAAGUUGUUGCAGUUAAAAAGUUCGAAUUUGAAUCUCGGUUGGCACGAAGGGGUUCGUUUCGGGGCGGUACUUCUCUUUGCGGCCUACCCGUGGGCCUUCGCCGGGGGUUCUUCGUUAAGGGCCUCGCGCGGCCAACAAAUUUACUUUGAAAAAAUUAAAUGGUUCAAAGCAGGCGCUUCCCUGGAAAAGCCUGGCAUGAAAUAUGGAAAAAGAACCUCGGUUCAAUUUUGUGG
rnacentral:rRNA from 1 species